rnacentral:lncRNA from 1 species
GGUGUAUUUGUCAGGUUGCUUGUGAUUGCUCAACUGUAGCCUUAUGAGUAAUCUUGAGUAGAGUGUAAUUAAGGUUGUGCUAGUGGCUUCUCACUGCUGUAAACAACUAUGGCCUUAAACCUUUUGAGUAAUAAUAUACUAUGAAUUGAUUUCUGGGUUUCUGCGUUUUGAGCUUUCCCUUCGCGCACUCUAUCUGAACCAAGCUCACCUGGACCCUGAGUGGGUUGAAUAUGUAUGGCAAGGCUUGCAAGCCAAACCCUUUCACCUUGGUGCCCAAGGCUAUGGUGCAGGACA